GGUCCGUUCGCCGAUCACAUGCGCCGAGCCUGCCUCCUUUCUUCUCUGUGUGGCUCAUUUUGCGCCAUUUUGUCCGCAACACAGUGUUGAUUGGGUUUUUGAGAUCUGUAGUGGAGCCAAUCAGAAGGGUACCGGACAACGGGAGAAACGAUUAAGUGAGGAAGGAAAGAUGGAGCAUUAUACAGCUACAACAACCAGUGGAGAACAAAUAGUGGUGCAGACUGCCAAUGGACAAAUACAGCAGCAGGCUCAGGGCACUGUAACAACAGUACAGCUGCAGACAGAAGCACCUGUUGCUACAGCAACGGGCCAGCAGAUGCAGACACUCCAGGUAGUCCAGGGCCAGCCCCUGAUGGUGCAGGUGAGUGGCGGGCAGCUGAUUACAUCGUCAGGUCAGCCUAUCAUGGUGCAGGCCAUGUCUGGUGCUCAGGGGCAGACCAUCAUGCAGGUGCCUGUGUCUGGAGCUCAAGGCCUUCAACAGAUCCAGUUGGUUCAACCGGGUCAGAUUCAGUUGCAGGGAGGUCAAACGCUGCAGUUGCAGGGUCAGCAGGGCCAGCCUCAACAGAUCAUUAUACAACAACCCCAGACAGCCAUCACCGCAGGCCAGAACCAGGGCCAGCAGAUUACAUUACAGGGACAGCAGGUUGCCCAAACAGCUGAAGGACAGACCAUUUUAUACCAGCCUGUGAACGCAGAUGGCACAGUUCUGCAGCAGGGCAUGAUCACAAUCCCAGCAGGUACUCUGGCAGGAACUCAGAUCGUCCAGGCAGCAGGUGCCACUAACACUUCCACAACCAACAGUGGGCAGGGCACAGUCACCGUUACCCUGCCAGUAUCUGGCAACAUGGUGAACGCUGGGGGAAUGGUCAUGGUAAGACCUCCUGAUGAGAUGGUGCCAGGUGGUGGUGCUGUGCCAGCUAUACAACGAAUCCCUCUGCCAGGAGCCGAGAUGCUUGAAGAGGAGCCCCUGUAUGUUAAUGCCAAGCAAUAUCAUCGCAUCUUAAAAAGACGGCAAGCCCGUGCCAAACUGGAGGCUGAGGGCAAAAUCCCUAAAGAGAGAAGAAAAUACCUUCAUGAGUCACGUCACAAACAUGCCAUGCAGAGGAAGCGUGGUGAUGGGGGACGGUUCUUCUCACCUAAAGAGAAAGAAGAAAUGGCCUUGGCCAUGCAGGUGAGAGCGCAGGGCCGCAUCAAGCAGGAAGACCUCCACAAUGCCACCGAACUCAUGAGCUCACACUGGCUGCACGAACACACCCCGCCCCUCGCAUAGAUACUCCUCUCUGCUCUCAUUGAACUCCUUUGCAGAUCCCUUCUCCUUCCUUUCUGGUGUAAAAUGCUGUUAUUGGCUGCUCUUGCAUGCAUCACCUCCUGCUUAGCUGCUUUCCUCUGUGCUUUUUGACUGCUUGAGUCUGUCCAUUGUCACAUUGCUAAGCCAUUUUUCAUAUUGAAGCAAUUACCUUAUCCCUUAUCAGACUGCAUGCAAAAGUCUAAUGUGCUGUUUAAAGGGUGUGAUUUUUUUUUAUUACCUGUCUAUCAUCUGAACUUUUAUCUCCAAUUCUGCAUUAACAAGAAAAAGAUCAUUACUUCACAGUGUUUCAAUAAUCAGAGUUUUGUACUGCAAAUUUUUUUUAUUUUUUUUUUAAACAUCUAAUCUAGACAUGGCCUGCCUGAUAUUCUCCAAAUCUGAUGUGUUUAUCACAGUCUAAGCGCAUUUGUUAUUAUUAACAGAAUGGACUACAGCAUGUUAAAGAAAGCAUGAAGACCCUCUCAUAGUUUUAGUUGUCUGUAAAUAUAAAAAUGAUUUUUUGACAGACUAGUUUAAAUAAAUGUAUGCAUUGAUUAUAAUGUUGUUUUCCUUUCUUUUCACAUCUAAUUGGAAUUCCAUUUUUUUUUUUUUUUUUUUUUUGAGGAGGUCUGUUGCUUUUUUGCUGGCUUUGACACCAUUCCGGUGUAGUCUCAGUGUUUGGUUUAUUAUUGUCAUAUGUUGUGAUUUUUUAUGCUGAAUAAAUAUUUUGACACAACAAGACAAUAUUAAGCGAAUGACUUCUAAGGGUCUACUGAGAAAAAAUACAAUUUGCAACCAAAUUAAAAAAUGUUUUACUGUGUAUCUUCAUUUUUAUUUUAUUUAUUUAUUUUUUUUUCUGGUCAUGAGGUCUGUUAGGAUGUUUGAUAAAAAUUAUUUCAAGACUAAAUGUAAAGGCCAAAAGGCUGAACUGCUGCCAUCUUCCUGAAAUCCAUGAUGUGAUGCCUAGGAGCAACAGGAACAGAACCAGGCAGGAGAUGAGACAGUGGCCCAGAUGAUACGGGUCUCGUAGCACCAAAAGUGUUAACAUAUUGUGAAGUGACUGUGUAGGCUCAAAAAUUACACCAAUGUGUAUCACCGUCCAGCCUCCAUCACAAAAGUAACUGACUGAUAGUCUUAAUUCAUCAUGGUCAAGUCUGUGUUUCUCUUUUCUUAUGUCUUCUACUGUAAAGGAGGGGCCCAUCUGUUUUCUCUCCAAGGUCUGGUAUUACUCCAGAGGAGAAGCAUAAAAAGAGCCAUUUCUGUUCAUGUAAAGCUUAAUGAAUUCAGCUUGUGGUUUAAAAAGCUAUUUAGCAGAAAAGCAUAAAUUGAGAGGAAGCAACUACACACGGCCAAAAGCUCACCAAUGAACCACGUACAGUGACGUUUCUCAAAGAUGGCAAUAGAACAAGCAUUUUGGCAAUUAAUUGCAUAAAGACCAAUAUGAUUUGUUUGAUUUUAUGUUUCUUGCUAUUAUGGACAUGUCUUUUAAGAUGAAGUCAGGUCUAUGACAUCACAAGUGAGAAGUUACAUUGAAAUGCUAUAGGUAUAUGUUAUACAAGUUCAUGGUAGUGUUGUUCAGUGUAUUGUACAUGUUUGCCAUGGAGAAAAGAGGGUUGGGGAAACAAUGAAAAUCAAAAGGUGCAGCAUUUUCUGGAAAUCAGUCCUCCUCACCAAGGAAACUCUGGGCGUAUGGGCAUUCUUGUGUCCCAAGCUUUUGUACACUUUUUGGUCUUAACAUGAAUAAUUUUUACGUAAGUGUUUUGAUAACAGUACAAUUUGAUUUGUAAUUGGAGUGAAGUUUGUGGUAGUGUAUCCAGUGACCUGCUGUUUUAGUAUGUCUUCUUGCCUCACCUAGUCCUUGUGUGAAAAUGCAGAUACUAUUGAUUUAUGUUGGACACAUUAAUCUUUUAACAUGUUUUGUUCUAAUUAAAUUGUGUGUGAAAUGCA